GUGGGGAAUAUUGGACAAUGGGCGCAAGCCUGAUCCAGCAAUGCCGCGUGGGUGAAGAAGGUCUUCGGAUCGUAAAGCCCUUUCGACAGGGACGAUGAUGACGGUACCUGUAGAAGAAGCCCCGGCUAACUUCGUGCCAGCAGCCGCGGUAAUACGAAGGGGGCUAGCGUUACUCGGAAUUACUGGGCGUAAAGGGCGCGUAGGCGGCUCGACCAGUCAGGCGUGAAAUUCCUGGGCUUAACCUGGGGACUGCGCUUGAUACUGUUGGGCUUGAGGCCGAGAGAGGGUGGUGGAAUUCCCAGUGUAGAGGUGAAAUUCGUAGAUAUUGGGAAGAACACCGGUGGCGAAGGCGACCACCUGGCUCGGUACUGACGCUGAGGCGCGACAGCGUGGGGAGCAAACAGGAUUAGAUACCCCGGUAGUCC
rnacentral:rRNA from 1 species